UUUUUUUUUGUUUUUUUUUGUUUUUUUUCGGAUCUAAUUUUGAUUGACAUGAUGAAAUGCAAUAUGAAAUGAAUGCAUGAAUGAGGAGGGCAAAUUUUGGGGUGUUACAGAAACUCUAAGUCUUUCUUUCAUUUCUUAAAAUUAGACCCAUUCAAGAUCUCAAUUGAAGCAGAAUAGAUGUUCAUAGGGAAGGUCAAUGUUGAGACAAAACAUGAAUGCACUAGAACAAAUAAUAAAUGCAAGAUAUACCUUUAAUGAACAUAUUUUAUCACGAAGAGGUCAACCUUAUCACGCAAUCCCCUUUGGGUGGAAUGCGCAAACCCAGGUCACAACAAGGAUCAUAACCUUAAAUGAUUACUUAAUUAACAUACAUUGGGUUCGAAAAUCUAUUUCUUUUGGGUAGAUAAACUCUCUAAACCAAAGCACCUCCAACAACUUCAUCCAUUAAUUUUAAGAAUAAGCUACUCAGUGAGCAUCUAUUGGAUUUAGAAAUUUAUCUCCUUUGGACCGAUAAAUCCCUAAGACCAAAGCAUCUCCGCUAAUUUUAUCCUUAAUUAACCACAGUCUCUACAUAUAAUUGUUCUCCUUUGGGAAGUCAAUCAUAGUAAUGAGUUAAAACCAUUCCUCAAACUAUAAAGAGACUUUUAUAAAUUAAAAGGAGUGAUCUCACUUUGGCGUCCACACAACCAAACACACACAGACGCCACUAGCAUUGGCGCCUCCUCAUGAGGGCCUAAUGCAGGCGCCACUAGCAUUGGCGCCUCCUCAUGAAGAGCCCAAUGCAUGCGCCAAUGCUAUUGGCGUCUCCUCUUCAUGCAUUGCGGAUGCGUCAUUUCAUCUGGCGCAUCCUCUUCAAAACACGGUUAUUUUGGUGAUUUUUUUGAAUAAUUGGUUAUUUUCGAUUUUUUUAAAAAAAAUGGUUAUUUUGAAAAAAAAAUCUAUUUUAUGGACCUAUUUAUUUUAAAUUUAAAAAAAUAAAUUUUUUCUUUAUAUUUUUAAAAAUGAAUAUUAUAAAACCAUUUUUUAUAUAAUAUUAAUUUUUUAUAUUAACUUUUUUUUAAAUUGAAAGAUUAAUUUUAACAUCUUAUAACAUCUACGUAAGACAAAAAAAUAGUGAAAAUUACAUAUUUUUUAAAAAAGUUGCAUUUCAAGAAUGAGUUUUAUGAAAAAUUAUUUAAAAUAAUUUAGAUUUUUUUAAAUUUUGAUAUUCAAAAAAGUUUCAAUAAAAUGAUCAAAUAUUUAAAAUAAUAUUUUAAAAAUAAUUAGUUAAAUUUAUUUAAAAAUUUUAUAAAAAAAUUUUAUAGAAUUUUUUACACAAAAUUAUGUUACGUUAUAAAAAUAUUUAAAAAUCAAAAUCAAAAUAAUCGAGUUCGAAAUUAUCAAUUAAUUUCCAAUUUUCAGAAAACAAGUGUUUCCGAGUUUCUUUUCAUUAGUCACUUUCAGCCAUCAGCUCUUCACGUAUAGUAUAAUUUUCCAAAUCUAUCCUCCUAGUUUUAAAUAAGAUUUGGCUUACUCUGCAAGUUGAUACACCUGGUAGUGAGGUUUGGUUGGUAGCUAGUGCUGCAUUAAAACGAGCAGUAAUGCUUUUCCAACCUCUGACCCCCAACUUGUGUUAGUUGAUCUUUAUAGAGUUUUCAUGUUUACUUUUCUAACAUAUUUUUUUAUCAAAUGUAGUAGUCUUUUAAAGAGAAUCUCGCAUUUUAAAUGUGGUUCAUUAUUACUAGUUCAACGUUCUGUUGUCACAAUGAUUAUUACCACCUUUAAAGAUUAGGUAAGAUAUUUUAUAAGACAAAACUAGAUUUUUCCUACAUCGUGAAGUUUAAAAAAGAUAUUUUAUAAUACUAGUAAUAUUUUAAAAAGUCUGUAAAGUUUGCAAUAAUGUUUUUUGAAGUAUAAUAAUGUGGAUGCAUCUUUUAUGCUCGAUCGUCACAAUUUAGUUGGUAUAUGGAUUUGUCUUAGGGAUAAAUUUAACGUGUUUGUAGGGAGGGUAGCUCGUGUUAUAUGUUUGUGCAAGCAAACCUCUUGCUCUAAUGCAUGAUAUUUGUUGGGUGCAUCAUAAUGUCAUUUUUGAGGUUGAUUAAAAACAUUUUAGUAGAUUCCUUACACACCUCGAUUAUUGGUAACAAUGAUUUGGUUCUUUAAUUCAGUAAGGAUUAUUUUUUCACCAAUCUAUCAUCAUUUUCUAUCCUUAUUCUCAUAUUAUCACUCAUUCAAAAUUAAUUCUUAAACUUCCAUGAUUUCAAAUAACUUUUUUUUUCAUGUUAUCAAAGACCCAUCAAAAUUUGAAACCCGGUUAAAUCACAUAGCUAUGCUAGAGUUUGUUUUGAUAGGGGUUUCAUAUGUUAACUUGCUAGGAUUUGCUAAUGCAAAUCAAACGACGUCACAUAAAGAAGACUACUUGAAAGAUGGAGCACUUGCUAGGAUUUGCUAAUGCAAAGACGCCACAUAAAGAAGACUACUUGAAAGACAGAGCACCAAAAAGAUUAAAGAUAGAUAGAAGACACUCAUUUCUUUAUCCAACAACUAAUUAAGAGAUACUGAUAACUUAUUCAAAAGAAUCUCAUGUUUAUUAUAUGUGUCAAAAAUAUGAGGGAUACUGAUGAGGUACUCAAGAAAUCUCAUUCCCUUAUCCAACAACCAAAUAAGGGAUAUUGAUAACUUACUCAAGACCUCUCAUGUUUUUUGAAGUAUAAUAAUUUUGAUUAUGGGCGAAACAAAUCCCUUAGGCAAAUUUGAUCAUGAAUUCUCAUGUUUAUUACACAUGUCGAAAAUAUGAGGUAAUAAGUUGUCCCCUGAAAUGCCAUUUUCGACCACAUAAAUUUCGAAAGAGAGAAACAUGGCAUUUUUGAACACUUUUUUCGACACUGUUUGGAUCACACUGUUGAUGCCAGUGUCAUCAUUGCGCCUUUUCACAAACGUCUGUUCAACAUGGUUUUUUGCAAUAGAACCAUCAUUACUCCUACUUCCUAGGAGAGUGGAAAAUAACUUCCUUAGCCUACUAACGUUUCCACUACCUGAAGAGGAAACGUCUUCAACUGCCACGCGAACGCCACUUGUUAGACGAUUACCCAUUACUAUUCUUCAUAAAUAUUAGUCUCAAUUUUUCAUUUCAUUUCUUCCAACUUCAAGCAUUCACACGUGUUAGUCUUUUUACUCAACAAAAGGAACAUUUUUUCCAGAAAACUUCAGGCAAAGAAACAAAGGCUUAUUACCGGCAAUAACCCACUUGCAUUUGUCAUUCUGGCAUCAAAGGAGGGAAAAGGAAGGGAUUUCGUGUCUGAACCACCACUAGAUAAAGAGAAAACUUCCAUCUGGGUCAAACAAGCACUAAUUUUGUUUUCUCUUUCUGAUAAACUUAUAUUAUGUGCAUUAUUUUAUUUUAUUUUGGAUACUAAGCAUUGCACUUGAUUCAGAUAUAUACAUGUAGCAUUGCUCUUGUUUUGUAUUAAUUUAAUUGAAUAAUUUAUUUGCAUUUUUUUACAAAAUUAUAAAGUUAAAAUAAACAUAUUUAUUAAAUUAAACUAACAUAGUUAAUUAUUUUUGUAAAUAAAUUAUAUAUAAUGUUGUAUAUUUUUUAUCUAAGGAUAUUUGUGUCUUUUCAAAAAUUACAUAUAUCUCUUUCUGUUAUAUUUCUCUUAUCAUUUUUUUAUACUAAACAAUACAUCAAAUCUACGCUAUUUCUUAUCUUUUUCUCUCUUCUAAUAAUCUCUCUCAUUUAUUUCUCUCUUCACAAUUUUUCUCCACAACCAAUCACAUCCUUAAUGUAAAAAUCAAUGGAGUUCUCAUUAGGAUUCAUAUGGUGGAGGAUAACUUGGGACCUCUCUGGGCAAAUCAUGAAAAUAAAUCGGUUCCAUCAUCGUCAAAGUUGAAAUCGAAGUCAGAGUUUUCAACCAAAGAGUGGAUUGAUGAAGAAGUUAUUGAAGAGUUGGAGGCUUAGGCUUAGUAGCAGCAGACUUAGGUCAAUAAAGUUUUGAGCAUGAAGGAAAAGAAACGAAUCAAUUAGGGGAUUUGGCCCUAUCCCAUCAGGCGACACAAACUAAUAAGUGAUGCCUAGUAGUUUUGUACCUGAUUUUCAGGAAACAGAGGUUCGAAGGUCAAUUCCUGAAGAGUUUGGACAAGUUAUGUUAAAGUAAAAAAGUAAGAGUCAAAGAGCUAGGUCAUGAGAAAAGGAUGGUAUUAAAGUGUUGUGUGGCAUGGUUAUAGAAAGUAGUGAUUUUUUGCCAAAUAGAAUUAUUGGGCCGCAAGUUAAGGUUCAGAGUCCAUCAGGAAGCAAAGUCAAACCUAAAAAGAAAGGAAUUAUGGAGUUUUAUUCAAAUUCAGAAGUUAAUAAGUCUUUCCGUAAGUUUCAUCUCAUUCGAAAGGAUAAAUCAGAGUCUAUUUUGUUAGUGCACCGAUUUGACCCAAUAGAAGAAUCUAUAAAGGAUCAGAGUUAUUCUUCUCCAAAAGGAAUGGUGAACUCUUUUUCCAACAAAUCUUACUUUGCGGCGUUGCAACCAUCCAAGUCUUAAGCUCGAAACUCAUGAAUAAAUAUUCUCAUUAUCAAAUGAGAACUUUUCAAGAGGGUCAGCAUUGUGUUCUCACUCAACUUCCGAUUCAGAUGUUCAACAAGGUAAUAUCAAAUUUUGCUCAUCCUUAUUAGAAGAUGUGGCGUCUUUAUCUUGGAAGAAAGUUAAGGAUUAUGUGAUAAAAGGAGAGAAGUCAAAUGAUGUUUAUGUAGUAGAAAUAAGAAGGCUUGAAGAGCGAGAUAAAGCGGCCAAAGUUUUGAGGGACUGUAAUACAAACUCUUGCCAAUGAAUAUUACUCCCUCUGUUCCUUUUUAAGUGUCUCUUUUGUAUAAAAAAUUUGUUUCAUUUUAAAUGUCAUUUUCAAAGUUCAAGAUAACAUCAAUUGUCAUUUGUCAAAAUUGUCCUAAUUAUUUAUUAAAGAGAGAGAAAAAGUUAAAUAUAUAAAUAAAUAGAUUGGGGUAUUAUAGAUAAAAAGAAAAUUAUUACUUGAAAAGUAGUAAACUUAAUUAGUUUUAUUGGUAUGCGUAAAAAGUCAAAGAAAGACAAUUAAAAAGGAACAGAGGGAGUAUGUCAUAUAACCUUAGAGUGUGUGGAAAUCCUAUCAGAAGGAAAUGCCUCCAGAAUCUUAUCAAAGUGUACAAGGAGGAUAUUUUCUUGAUUUACGAAUCCAAAAUAAAGUUUGAGGCGGAGGUCAAAGUAUCAUUUAUGUGGGGUAAUGCAUAAGUGGAUUGGACAACUAUUUGGGCAGUACGCAUGUCUGGUGGUAUGUUGAUUAUGUUGAAUUAUGUAUGUUUGUUAUAAACUUCAACUUUAGAGUAGAAGGUUUUGUAGGGAUAUGUGUGGAGUGACUUGGUGCUUUAUAUUAAAUAAUGAACAUUUACUCAUCUUGCAUUAUGUCUAAGAAGCGAAAAUUAUGGGAUGAGCUGGUUGAUUUUAAGAAAAGGAAACCUAAGGGAGAAUGGUGUUUAAGGGGGGAUUUUAACACCAGUAAAAAUAAAUCCAAAAGUAAAUAGAAACUUUCUAUGUUAAUAUAACCAAACUUAUUGAGUUUCAAUGUUUUAUUGAUAAUCUAGAAUUGGUGGAUGUUCCUGUAAGGGGAAGCCCCUUCACCUAGAUCAAUUUGGAUGGUAGUGUGAUAACUAGGUUGGAUAGGUUUUUACUUUUAGAAAGGUUAAUUUCUAAUAUGAGUAUAGUGUAUCAAGUGGUAGGGAAGAGGAAGGUGUCUGAUCACAAACCUAUUUGGGUUAAAUCCAAUUAUGUAAAUUGGGGUCCCAAAUCAUUUAAGAUUUUUAAUUGUUGGUUUGAUCAUCCAAAUUUUGAUUAUUUUGUAGAGGGGGUGUGGAAUUCAAUUAAAUUUCAUGGUAAAAGUGCUUUUGUUAUGAAGGAGAAGUUGGAUUUUCUGAGAGUUAACCUUAGAAAGUGCAAUGUUGAAGUGUUUGGAAUGAUUAAUUUGGAAGUGGAGGUAGCAACUAUAAAACCCAAAUUUUUGGUUUAUUUUAUUUUAUGAUGCUCAGUGAAUUAUUCAUGUUUUAUUAUAUAUUGUUAUGUGAUUAUUGAUGAAUAUGUGAAAUAUUGGAAUAAAUAUGGAUUUAUUGAGUUUAUCGGAAUUUAGAAUGAUUCUAUUUGAUUUAAAUAAUUGGAUAAUAAUUAAAUGAUGAGAAAAUAAGAGAUUUAUGGAAAAUGAAAUUUAUUAUUAGUAUGAGUUUAAUAAUUUAAAGAAAAAUAGAAUAAUGAGAGUUUGGGGUGAUAGUGUGAAAUAAAAGUGUUUGGAUCUAAUGAGGUAAUUAUAAGGGAUUGUGUAGAAAACACUAGGUAUAUAUUCUGAAAGGUUAGGGAGAGUUAUUUUCAUCCAAUUCUUAGAGAACCCCAGAAAGAAGCAAGAGGAGAACCCUAAAUCUAGCAGGGGAGAGAAAAACCAUUGGAGAAGAACUUGCUUGUUGAAAGUAUAAGGUAAGGGGGGAGAAAGGGCUUUAGUAUGGGUGUAUAGCAUGAAUGGUAGAGAAGAAAUGUCAUUUCUCUCUUUAGGGAUUGUAUGAAUUGUUCAUAGAUUGUUGUUGAUGCAUAUAAUUCUGGAAUUUGAUGAUUAAAGGUGUAUGCAUAUGAUUUUCGUGAUUGAAUUUAUGCAUAUAUGGUUCUGUAAUGUGUGUAUGCUUGUGCCAUUGUUAAGGUUUUUGAAGGUUUGAAUUUAAACAUGCAUUGAUGAGAUAAAUGCUUAUUAUAUGCAAUAUGAGGUGUUGAAUGUUGUAUAAUUGAUGUAUGAUGUUGAAUUCAUGUUAUGAGAUGUUUGGACAUGUUAGAACAUGAUUGGGUAGGGUCGGAAUGGUUAGAGGUUGAAGAAAACGAGUUAAGAACAAAUAUUUUUAUGAAAAUUGCAGACACUAAUCGAUUGGCAUCCUGGAAAAAUUGAUUGGUUCCUCUAAAAAAUACUGAACAAAAUGUUAACAACAAUUGAUUGGCCCACAGCAGUAACCUAUUGGUCCCCUUGUUGUUUUGCCCAUAACUUGAGUUUCGGGACAUGGAUUGAGGCACGGUUUGAAGCGUUGGAAAUCUAACCUAUAAAGCUACAUUCUGGUGGUGAAUUGUGAGAUGAAUUUACAUGUUAUAAUGAUGUGUGAAUGUAUGCUAUAUGAGUGAAUGUAUGAUAGAUGUGUGAAUGUAUGUAUAUUUUCAUGACUCGUUGUGUUUACUUAAUGAUGAAUUGGUGUUAAAUGAUUUAACAUGAUUGAAUGUCGUGUGAAUAUGUAUUUGAUGUAGUGCUACUAUUUAGUGUGGUUUAUUAAUUAUGGUGGCAUUAAUUGAUUAUUGUAUAUUGAAUAUGAUGCUAUGCAUAACUAUGGUGAUUGUAUGGUGAUAAUUCUGGUGAUCAUUUUGGUAAUAAUGCAUGUUAUUAAAAGUCAUGCAUCAUGGUGUACGGACUUCGGUCCAGUUUUGAUGUGAUAUGGUCCGAUGGUGUGGAUUCAAGAGCGAGUAGCUAAUUCCAAUAAGGAAUUAAUGAAGCGUUAUUACAUGGUGAUUAAUAGUGAUUUUGGUAUGCUCGAAUCCGAUGGUGUCGAUUCAGGAGCGAGUAGCUGGUUCCAGAUGGGGAGGCGGUGAAAUGUUACUUAUGGUGAUAAUAAUGAAUUGGUGUGCUCUAGUUAUACGGUGGAGAUUUAGGAGCGAUACGAACAUGUGUUGUCCAUAAUGUUACCACAUGCGUAAGUGUCACAUUGUAUCGUGAGUCACAUUGCAUACAUAUAAUUGUGUAUAGUUAUGAUUGGGUGUGAAAUUAUGGUGAUGUUGACUAUGUAUUGAAUAUAUGUUAUGUCGUCCAUCUCUCUACCUUCGCAUUAUUUACAGUGUUCAUAUUGAAUGUUGUUUCUCACCCUUUUGCUUCAUGUUGUCCACCAUGGACAUCUUGUAGAUACUCAUGAGUGAUCAUUAUUGCUGUGUGUGGAAGGUGACUUGUUCGAAAUACUCUUCAUUUUGUUAUUUACUGUGUUAUCAUACAUUAGUGGUUUUGGUCGUGUAACAUUGGGGACAGGAGUUGUUAUGUUUUUUUCAUUUGAUGUUGAUUUUUCCGUUUUGAAGUUUAUUACUUUAUUUAUGAAGUUGUUAUGAAUUUUUUUUCGCUACAUAGUUUCAAAUGAUUAUGGUGUGUUUCGAAGGGUUGUCGUUGGUGCUACCAUAAAUUUUCAUGUUUAUGGUGUUACAACAACUAAAGAGUAUAAUGUGUUGGAUUUGGAAGCAUUCGAUUUAGACGAGGAAGAUAUGGGUGUUUUAGCCAAAAGGAGAGUGGAGGAAACCAAUAAAUUUUGUUGAAGUGGAAGAUUAAAGAAAGCAUUUUGAGGGGAAAAUCUAGGUUUAUGUGGAUUAGAGAGCGAGAUGCCAACUCGAGAUUCUUUCAUUCUUUCUUGAAGCACGAAUUUAGAAAGAAUGGAAUUAUGUUUCUUUCCUCUCCUUGGGGUUUUCUCAUGAAAGUGAAUGAUAUUAAUGAAGAAAUAUAAUAUCAAUUUUCCGAUAGAUUUAAAGAAUCAUGUAUUAGGAUGCCUUUUCUCGGCGGAGUGGAGUUAUCGGUUUUGAGUAGACGGAAACGAAGUUGGUGGAAGUUCCCUUUUGUAUAGAGGAGAUCAAAGAGGUGAUGCAGGAGAGUGACUCUAACAAAAGUCUGGGGCCGGACGGUUUUUACAUACGAUUUUUCAAAGUGUCUUGGAAUUGUUGGUGCAAAGGUAGAAUAAAAGAUGAAUAUUCUAUUAAGAGAAUGACGGCUACAAACAGGAUUAAAAGUUACAAUGAUUGACACCCUAUUUAUAAGCCUCUAACAAACUUAAAUAUGAAUCAAAUCUAAUAUUUAAAUCUAUAGCUACAAACUUAAAUAUGAAUUAAAAUCUAAUAAUUAAAUCUAAUACCAUCCCUUAAUUCAUAUUCCAUCAAAACUUGUAACACCAAUUCCAUCCCUUAAUCUGAGAAAUUGAUCAGUCUUGAUAGCUUUCGUCAGAACAUCUGCCAACUGCUUCUGAGUGCUGCAGUGUACAACUUCUAACACUCCCCUCUGAACUUGAUGUCUCAGAAAAUGAUACUUGGUCUCAAUGUGCUUGCUUCUCCCAUGCAACACUGGGUUUCUGGCAAGAUGUUUGCAGACUUGUUGUCAAUCAUCAGCUUCAGAGGUUUGUUUACUUUAAUCUUCAGAUCCUGCAAUAGAUUCAGAAUCCACACAGCUUGGCAUGCAGUAACAGCAUCUUACAAUUCUUCAGAUCAAAUCUCUUCAGAAGUUCUAAUUCAUACUUGAGCUGAUGCAAAUAAUACCUUUCUCAGAGUAUUUGAACUCCAUCCCUAGAAAGUAUGUCAUUUUGCCUAGAUCAGUCAUUUCGAAUUCAUUCAUCAGAACUUUCUUGAACUUGGCUAUCUCCUGUUCAGAACUUCCAGUCAGCAGUAUAUCAUCAACAUAUAAACAUACCAGAGUCAUAUUUCCUUCAGAAGUAUGCUGAACAUGACACCGUACUCCAUCUCACAUUUCUGAAAGCCUUGCCUCUUAAAAAAUGAAUCAAUCUUCAGAUUCCAGCUCUGGGCGCUUGUUUCAAUCCAUAUCCAUAUAUGUAUAAUCUGUACACCAUCCCUUCCUGAUUCUUUUUCACAAAUCCAGGAGGUUGUGACACGUAAACUUCUUCUUCUAAUGGACCGUUCAGAAAUGCAGAUUUUACAUCUAAAUGCAUCAGAGGCCAAUUCCUGUUAGCAGCUAUUGCAAUCACCAUUCUGAUUGUUUCAUGUCUUGCUACAGGUGCAAACACUUCAGAGUAAUCCAGCCCAGGUUUCUGUAGAAAUCCUCUGGCUACCAACCUUGCUUUAUGUUUGCCAAUUGAACCAUCUGGCUUUAACUUCUGCUUGAAAACCCAUCUGACGCUGAUGGCUUUCUUGUCUUUUGGAAGUUCUGUCAGCUUCCAAGUCUUGUUUCUCUCUAUAGCAUCAAGUUCUUCUUUCAUGGCCUUCAGCCAGAGCUUCUGCUUAAGAGCCUCUUCUGUACUUAUGGGUUCAGAGUCUACUAACAUGGCACACUGAAUAACUUCUCCUUCAGAGUCUACUUCAGUGUCUUGCAGCAUGUCAAAUUCUGCAUAUCUUCUGGGGAUGUUUCUGAUUCUUUGUGGUCUCUGAACUUGUUCAGAGUCUUGAGCUUCAGAGUUUCUAGCUUCAGAUGGUUGACUUCCUCCAGAGCUUUGANNNNNNNNNNNNNNNNNNNNNNNNNNNNNNNUUCUUCAGAGGUCUAACAUCGAGAAUCAGAUUGGACUUAUCCGCAAUUCAAACUUCUGAAUUCCUUCACAAUCACAUCUCUACUGAAUUCAAAUUUUAUUGUUUCUGGACAUGAGGGCUUGUAUGCACCUUUUGUUGUGGUUUAAAAACCCUUCAGAAGUCAUCGCAACUUUGCUUCUGUCAUCAUCCAGCUUCUGUUUCUGGGCUUCUGGAACAAUGUUUAUAGGCAAAAGAACCAACACCUCAGAUGACUAACACUCGUUGCUUAUCUCAGUCCACUCUGUCAUUGGAACUAUUCCCUUCAGCUUGCUUUGUAGGCAACAUCGGUUGAGUACAUACGUUGCAGGCAACAGCUUCUUUCCCAGAGCUUCUGAGGAAGCCUAUCUCCUUUUAGCAUGCUUCUGACCAUAUCAGCAAGUGCGGUUUUUUCUUUCAGCCAGACCAGUUGUGUUGAGGGGUAUACGGAGCAAGUAACACUCACAUGGCUCAAUUCCAUUCUCCUCACAGAACUUCUUGACACUUCUUUGUUGUCUCCCCCUCCCUCAGUUCUAGAAUCUUCACUUUCUGACACUCUGAUUCUCCAGCUUCAUUCUGAACUUCUUGAAUUCAUCAAAACCUCUGUGUUUAAACUAAUAAGGGCUACCCAUGUACAUUCUUUGAACUCAUCAACAAUACACGAAGUAUUAUUCCUUCGAUCGAUCUUACGGAAAUGGACCACACACAUAGAACUGUACAACUCGCCAGCAUGUUGUUUCUUGGAUGCAGUUUCUGACGCAAUGCAAAUCGUGGUUGUUUUUCCUUCCAGUGCAACUUUCUGCAUGGAGCUUUCAGCUUCUUAAUUGCCGAGGAUUCCAUGUACCAACUUCUUUUGAAAUUCAGUGUUUAAGCUUUGAAAUUCAAUUUGUGACGCAAAAUCUCUGUGCACCAGCUUCACUCUCCUUCUCGCACUUGUUGACUAAGACAGUUCUGAGUCUGCAGUUCUGACAUUCACUCUGAUGUUCUAUUCCUUCCUGUUCUGACUCCAUUAAUCAACGUUCUGAUAUGCAGUCAUUACAGCUUACGAAGAUUGCUUCAUCGGUAAACUGAAAAACCUUUCUCAAUUAAUGUCCCCACACUCAUCAGAUUGCUUCUGAUGCAGGUUCAAUCCAACACUUCUGAAUCAAUGCUGCUGUUUUCCAUUGUUCAGAGUCACUCUACAUUUCCCAUACUUUCUGCUUAUAAGAUAAUUUUGUCAUCAGCAAUCUGAUCUUUGUCACUUUUUCAGAGUCAAAGUCAACCAGCCAUUUCUUGUUUCAGUAAGAUGAUUGAACAGCCAGUUCGCGAUAUACCACCAGGUCUAUCAGAUCCAUCAUAUCAGAUUCAGAGGUCCGAUCAAUAGCAAGAUGAUUCUGUCAUCAGAACUUCUGGCUAUAUUUGCUUCUUCGUGAUUGUCUCCCUUGUUUUGAACCAACAGUCGCUAGCAAGUGCGACAAACUUCUUACACGAGUAACAUUGGAUUUCUUCUUGUCAUACUUCUCUUUUCCUCAUUACUGAGCAUUCUUUUUUGUCUAGUCAGAGGUUGAGCUUUGCUGACUCUGACCACCAUCAGUCUUCUCCUGACUUCUGAGCUGCUUUUGAUACCUCCUAUCAGAAGUUGCUUUCAGAGCCUGUUGCUCUAUUCCCUUUCAGAAGUCUCUCUCAGCUCAAACGCGAACUCUUGCGCUUCUAGACUGCUCUGCAAGCCUCUCAAUUCUCUGGUGCUCAGAUUCUUUGGAUGUUCUAUUGCUACAACAAUUAAUGCAAAUUUGAGGGAGGUAAGGGAUCUCGAAUUACGCUUCUCCAUGAGUUGUAUUUUCAGAAAGAGUUUCUCCCCACCUUUCAUUCAUUAGUGUCCAAUCCCUCUGAGAUGUAUUCAGAAACUUUCUCAUUAUUUCAUGUUGAGAUUCUCAUAUUGGUUUCUCAAGGACUGAAGCUUCACCUCUUCACUGAUGCGUACCACAUAACAUCUAACCAGUGUGUCCACGCAGCCUUUGCUGUCGUUGGAAGCUGCAAUACUUCUCAAACACUUUACAUGCAACACAUUGAAGGAAGAGAACAAUGCUUUACUGAUCCUUCUUCCUUACUUCCGUUCUGGCGUGUUUUUUCUGGUUCAUUAAGCGUCGAGUCGGCUGCUACCGGACAAUACGCAUCAGUGACAAGUCUAGAACAUCUUGAGCACCGAACAGACACGCAUUGGAUCAUCCAACGUUCCAGUUUUUACCGUCAAAUACUGGAAGUUGGUGUUCAUGUUGCCGUUUACCGUUCAUCUUUCUCCUUGCACAGUACACUCAGAUUUCUCACACAGUGUUUUCCAACCACAGAAAUUUAAAAUUGCAUCAGAUUUUGUUUCAAGAUUCAACUCGAAUCUAAGAAUCAAGAUCAAAACACCAGAAGACUCACGUUCACUUCGUGUUUCCCGUGGUUUCCCCAAAUGAUCCGAACCUGAGCUCUAGAAUACCAAAUUGUUGGUGGCAAGGUAGAAUAAAAGAUGAAUAUUCUAUUAAGAGAAUGACGGCUACAACAGGAUUAAAAGUUACAAUGAUUGACACCCUAUUUAUAAGCCUCUAACAAACUUAAAUAUGAAUCAAAUCUAAUAUUUAAAUCUAAUAUCUAACAAACUUAAAUAUGAAUUAAAUCUAAUAAUUAAAUCUAAUAGGAAUACUAUCAAAAAGGAUUUGGUUGCUUAUAUGAAUCAAUUUUACGCUCUUCUAAAUUGCCUAAAGCAAUUGCUACAAGUUUCCUUUUUUUGAUCCCAAAAAGGGAUAAUCCCUAAAAGGUUAAAUAUUUAUGUCCAAUCUUUUUGGUGUCUAGUUUGUAUAUGAUUUCGGCUAAGCUUCUUGCGUCUAGACUUAAAAAGGUGUUUCCCUCAUUAAUUUUUAUAAACCAAUCAAAUUUUGUCCAAAAUAAACAAAUGCUUGAUGGUGUGCUAGUAAUUGAUUAGGUGGUGGAUUAUGUCAAGAGAUUCGAGAAGGAUUUCUUUAUUCUCAAAAUUGACUUUGAGAAGGCCUAUGAUAAGGUGUUUUAAGCUAUUUUAGGAGAGUGUUGAGGUCGAUGGGUUUUGGUAACAUGUUGAUGGAAUGGAUGGAGAAAUGUGUGUACUCAAGUAGCUUUUCUAGCCUGGUCAAUGGGAGUCCCACAAAGGAAUUUGAGGUUAGUAGAGGUUUGAGGCAAGGGGAUCAUUUGUCUCCUUUCUUAUUUAUUUUGGCAGCAAAAGGCUUGACUAGAUUGGUCAAGGAUGCCAUUACCAAAGGAUAUUUUCAUUCAUUCAAAAUCAACGAUGAUAUUAAAUUUUAUUUACUCCAAUUUGCUGAUGAUACUUUGAUUCUCGAGGAAGCCUCUCUUGAUCUAAUUUAUGGAGUAUCAAAGGGUUUCUAAGGGGCUUCAAAUUGGUUUCAGGUUUGACCAUAAAUUUUCAGGAAGGAGGAGAAUCAAUUGGAUUAGCUGGGAAAAGGUUUGUUUGGAUAAGGGCAAAUGUGGUUUAGGCGUCAAACAUUAUGAGCUUUUUAAUCUUUCUCUUUUGUCUAAAUGGAAGUGGAGGAUCCUCAACGAGAGGAAAACUAUUUGGUAUGGUUUGUUAGUAUUUAAAUAUCGAGAUAUCAAGCUAAAUUUAGUGAAUAUUUUUCUAUGUUAAUUAGGGUGAAAGAGUCAAUUUGGUGGAGAGACAUUAAAUUACCCGGGCUCGCUCAAAUGGAUGAGGCUAGUUCGUUCUCAAAUUGUAUUAGAGGUAAAUUGGGCAAUGUUCAAUCUCUAGGUUUUUGAAAGGUGAGAUUGAUAGGUAAGGAGCCUUUUAGCAUACAAUAUCCAGAGUUAUUCUUCUUUGUAUAAAAUAAGUCUUUAAAAAUAGAAAAUGUUGGUUUUAUGAGUGGUUCAAAGUGGAACGGGAUCUUCAGGAUCUGCAGGUCUCUUGUGCUGUUGUGUCUGUCGAAGUGCAAUCUCAGGUUGCUGAUCUGAUGUUAAUUAUGCAGGAUGUUAGUUUACAUCCCAAUGUUGAAGACUCUUUCAUGUGGUGGACAGAUCAAUCCGAAUUUACAAUUAAAUCUUGCUUUUUUUUACUGUCUGAAUUAACUACAGGAUCUAAAUUACCCGUUAAUUAGCAGCGAGUUCUGGAUAGUUUGUGAAAGAUCAAAGAUCCAAGUAAUCAACUCUUAUUCGGAUGGAGACUCUUUCUUAAUAUUCUCCCAACCCAACUGGAACUAGCUAGGAGAAAGUUCAUCGCAAAUGAAGUUGAUAUGUGUUAUUCUUUUUGUUUUGUUGAGCAAGAAUAAGCCUUGCACCUUUCUGUUUCAUGUUUGGUGGCUUGUGAUAUGUGGAGAAACGUUCUACUUUGGUUUUUCUCCUUAUGUUCUUGCAGAUUCAGUAGAUGCUUGCUACAAGCUGUUUAAAAGUCUGCUCAGGAAUAGGAUUCCUAAGAAUGCUCAUGGUUUAUUUUUGUUAGUGGUAUGCUAGGUGUUAUAGAUUAGUAGGAAUAAUAUUUUGUUUAAUGGUGAUUUGGAAGACGCUCCGAAGAUGUUUUUCAUGGUCAAAUGGUUAUAUUGGGAGUGGGUAGUAAAUAAGUUCAAAGGGUGUAGUGCUUAUAGCUUUUCUGUUUGGAGCCUUCUCCCUUGUCUUUAGCAAGGAUUCCUUAAUGUUCGCUUGUAGUGGAUAUAAUAUCCCUUAUGUUUCUACCAAUCAAUCUUUUGCUCAUAAAAAAAAAUCCUACUACUAGAUGUUUCAUAAGUGGAUAUAGAAGAUGCAGUAUUGGAUCAAACUCUAGUAUCGACAGGGGUAGCUUCAUAAUUCGAUAGGGUCGAAUGUGCAUGUUGUAGUUGAAGUUUGUUCAAGCAUGCCGUAGUCAAAAAUGGUUUAUAUAUUAUGUUAUGUGAUAGAUAUGUAUGUCAUGUAUGAGUUUUAUGUAUGAGUUUAUCUUCAUACAUAACAUACAUAUAUUAUUAGUCUAUAAAUAGGUUGUUCUCUCACUUGUUAAAAGAGAGGUUGGUUUUUAUUUUGUUUCACUUCUAAUCAUUUAACGCUCAAUGACAAAGUGAAUGGAAUAACCGUUAUAACCAAAUUUAUUCUCUCGAGAGAGAGAGAGAGAGAGAGAGAGAGAGAGAUGUUUAAUCAAUGAACUCCCUCCCUCUCACAGUUUUACUUUGUUAUUGACAUCAAUUUUAACAACAAACUAAUAUGGUGAACAUGGAUCAAGAUGCCUUUAACAAAGUAUGAGAUUGAGAAAUUCGCUGGAGAAAAUGAUUUUGGAUUAUGGAGCUUGAAGAUGUGAUCCCUUCUUGUUCAACAAGGUCUGCUAAAAGCGCUAAAGGGAUAUAGAAACAUGGAUGUUUUACUAUCGAAAAGGGAUGAGAUGAUGAUGAUUGAGAAAGCCAUUAGUGUCAUCAUAUUGAGCCUUGGUGAUAAGGUUAUCCAGAAGGUCUCAGAGGAAAAAACUGCAACAUCUGUGUGGAUCAAACUUGAAGGUUUGUACAUGACCAAGUCAUUGGUCAAUCGUAUCUACCUGAAGCAAGCUAUAUAUUCAUUCAAGAUGAGUGAAGAAAAAUUCGUGACUGAGCAGUUGGAUAUGUUCAGCAAACUUAUUCAUGAUCUAGAGAAUAUUAAUGUUAGCAUCGAUGAUGAAGAUCAAUCGUUGCUACUGCUGUGUGAUUUACCUAGAUCUCAUGCUCAUUUCAAAGAAACUCUCUUGUAUGGAAGAAAGACCCUGACCUUUGCAAGGAAUGGAUUAUGGAUUCAUGUUGCACUUGGCACAUGACUCCAAACAAAGAUGUGUUUGAGGAAUUAUGUGAUCAAAAUGGUGGAUUUAAUGCUACUGGGAAACAAUAAAGCUGGAAAGAUUGCAGGGAUUGGAUAUAUGAGAUUCAAGAUCCAUGAUGAGUCAAUUAAGCUAUUGAAUGGCGUCGGGUAUGUACUUGAUCUUAUGAGAUAUUUGAUUUCUCUUGGUGAAUUCGAUAAGAAAGGAUAUAUUUUCAAAUGAGAGAAAGGUAUCUUGAGAGUCAUAAAGAGGUUGAAGGAAGUAUUGAGAGGAAUCAAGAGGCAAGGCUUGUAUACCAUUGAGGUUGAGGUCAUAAGUGGUUCAGCAUAUUUUGCAUCCACAAAGCCUGUAUCGAAGAUGAAGCUAUGUCACAUGAGAUUGGACCAUGUCAAUGAAAGGGUUCUGGUCGAACCGAGGAAACAAAAUCUAUUAGGUGGUAACAAGGUCAAAAAGCUAGAGUUCGAUAAACUUGUAUAUUUUGAAAAACUUACAGAGUGAAGUUCAAUCAAGGCAAAUAAAGAAAACAUGAAUCCCUUGAUUACAUUCAUGAUGAUAUUUAGGGGUUUGCAAUAAGUCCUUCACACUUAGGUGCAACAUAUUUCCUAUAGUUAAUGAUUAUUCACAAAAGUUAUGGGCAUUCACUCAGAAAACUAAGGAUCAUACUUUUGAAACUUUCAAAAGUUGGAAGACUCUGGUUGAAAAUCAAAUUGGCAGGAAGGUCAAGAGAUUGAGGACCAACAAUGGCCUUGAGUUCUACAAAGAAGCCUUCGAGAGUCAUUGUGAUAUGCCUGGUAUAUCUAGCCAUAAGACUACAAAACACACUCCUCAGCAAAAUGGACCGGUUAAGAGGUUCAAUCGUACAAUCCUGGAAAGGGUUAGAUACAUGUUGGUUUGUGUUGGGUUGAAUAAGGUGUUUUGGGUUGAGGAUGUUAUGACUGCAUCUUACGUGAUAAAUAGGUGUCCCUCGAUUGACUUGGGGAUGAAGAUACCUGAAGAAGUUUGGUAGGUUCACCCACCAGAUCUCGACAAACUUAGAGUAUUUGAUUGUGUAGUCUAUGCUCAUAUCAGGCAAGAUAAAGUCGAACCUAGAGCUCUGAGAUGCAUGUUCCUUAGAUAUCAUAUGGGAGUCAAAGCUUAUAGGAUGUGGUUCCUAGAACUAGGUCGCAAGAGGUGCAUCAUUAGCCAUGAUGUAGUUUUCAAUGAAACUGAGAUGGGUUUUAAGAAUAUUGAUGAUGGUGUGGCUAGUCAAAAGAUCUCUAAAGAAGAGGAAAAAAAGGAGGAAGUUCAUGUUGAGGUGGGGCACUUAGGAAAUGAAGUGUACAAUCAUGGUGAAAAUCCAUAUGAAGUUGCUGAAGAAGCACAAGAUUCUGAAGAAAAUGAGGAAAUUAUUGACGACUACCUGUUGGCAAGAGACAGGCCGAGAAAAGUCAUCAAGCCAUCUCAGAGGUUUGGUUAUGCAUACCUCAUAGCUUUUUCGUUAAUUUUAGCAAGUGAGGUUCUCGAUGAAGAAUCUAGAAAUUAUAAAGAAUCUAUGAGGAGUCAAAAUAAGAAGGAAUGGAUGAAAGCCAUGAAUGAUGAGAUAAAAUAUCUUCAUGAUAACCAUACCUAGAAGCUGAUCAAAAAAUCUGCAGGGGCAAAGUUAGUCAGUUGUAAAUGGAUUUUCAAAGUAAAGGAAGGAAUUGAAGGAGUUAUGUCGAAGAGGUUUAAGGAAGGACUGGUUGCAAGGGCUUCACUCAGAGGGAAGAAAUGAAUUUCAUUUAUGUAUUCUCUCCUGUUGUGAAGCAUAAAUCCAUUAGAAUGCUCCUUGUUAUGGUGGCUAGGUUCGACCUAGAACUGGAGCAGAUGAAUGUCAAGACUGUUUUUCUAUACGGUGAUUUAGACUAAACAAUUAUGAUGAAGAAACCUAAAGAAUAUGAAGAAAAAUUUAAGGAGGAUUAUGUGUGCAAGCUGAAUAGGCCAUUAUAUGUCCUAAAACAAUCUCUUAUGCAAUGGAACAGGAGAUUCGACAAGUUCAUGGAACGCAUAGGUUUCACAAGGAGCAACUUAGGUCAUUGGGUUUAUUUCUGGUGCUCACCUGAAAAUUCACUUAUCAUCCUAUUGUUCUCUGUGGAUGACAUCCUCAUAGCAAGCAACCUUGUCGAAGAAGUAAUGAGGGUGAAGGAUGAACUCAACCAGGAAUUCAUAUUGGAGGAUCUUGGAAAUACAACCGAGAUUUUAGGCAUCGACAUGAAGAGAGAUAGAAAGCAGUCGAAAUUAUACUUAUCUCAAGAGUCAUAUCUAAGGAAGAUUCUCGACAGGUUUAAUAUGUCGAACUCAAAACCUAUUAUAACACCAAUAACUCAACAAUUCAAGCUGAGUAUAACUCCCUAGUACUGAAGUCGAAAAGGCCUAUAUGAAUAGCAUUCCAAAUGCUAGUAUAGUGGAUUCUUUGAUGUAUGUUAUGGUUUGUACCAAACCAGACAUAACAUAUGCAGUUAGCCUUGUAAGUAGGUACAUGGUCAACCCUUGAAAGGCACACUGGCAAGCCUUGAAAUGGAUACUAAGAUACAUAAAAGGAUCUCUGAGCAGGGUGCUGGUUUAUGGUAGAGCCAAAGUCGAAGGAUUUGUUAACUCUGACUAUGCAGGAUGUAUGAAUGCUAGAAAAUCUCAUUUUGGAUAUAUUUUCACUAUGUUUGGUACAACAAUCAGUUGGAAAGCGACACUUUAGAAAGUUGUAACCUUAUCAAUCACUGAAGCUGGAUAUAUUUUCCUCACUAAAGUUGUAAAAGAAACAUUGUGCCUUGAAGGGUUUGCUAAGGAACUGAUUCUUCAAGGUCAGUCAGUGUUAAAUGUGAUAGUCAAAGUGUCAUACAUCUGUCGAAAAAUUCGGCCUCUCAUGAGAUAACCAAACACAUUGAUGUUAGACUGCAUUUCGUCAGAGAGAAAAUCGAAAGAGGAUAAGUCUAAGUGAUAAAAGUUCCGACGAUCACAAUGCUGCUCGUAUGACCACCAAGUCAUUACCAAGCAUCAAGUUUUUCAACUAUAUGCAGUCGAUAAAAUUGCAUGAUGAUAGCUAGUUUGUUUCAUUGUUGUUUUGGAGUUUAUUCCAAGGUGGAGAUUUGUAGUAUUGGAUUGAACUUCAGUCUCGACAUGGAUAGCUUCAGGAUUUGACAGGGUCGAAUAUGUAUGAUAUAGUCGAAGUUUAUUCAAGCAUUCACUAAUCAAAGAUAUUUUUUGUAUUAUGUUAUGUAGUAGUUAUGUGUGAGUAUUAUCUUCAUACAUAACAUACAUAUGUUACUAGUCUAUAAAUAGAUUGUUCUCUCGCUUGUUAAAAGAGAAGUUGGUUGUUAUUUUUUCAUUAUUUAACACUCAAUAAAAAAAAAUGACAUAACCGUUAUAACCUACUCUAUUCUCUCUCUUUUCCCUCUUCUUGAAUUGAAUGAUUUCUUAUUUAAUAAAAUAACUCUCUCUUUCUAACAAUUUUACUUUAUUCUUGAUAUCAAUUUUCAUAACAGAAGAGUUAAUGAAAUAGGAGAACGAAAAGGUUCCCGCAAUUACUCCGUUAAUAUUAAUAUGAAGGAUUUUUUUAUAGCAGAAAUAUAUGUUUAUUUUCCUCUUUGCCUGAGGAUGAUGAUGGAAGAAAGAGUACAAUUUCAACAAACAAGAGAAAGUAAAAUCUGUUAAAUGCUCUUAACGUUUAUGAAUUCGCACGUACAUAAUUACAUAUCUAACUCAAUAAUUCAUGCGAUAGCAAGUUCAAAACAAGCAACAGAAAAUUGGUUAUAAACACAACUCAAAGAAAGACUUCCUCCUACACAUUUGAAUUGGUAGUAAGCUUGAUGAAAUCACAGUUUCAUUGUAAUUUCAUCAAACUAACCGUAAAUCCAAACAUAAACUAUAAACUUCAAAUACAACAAAAUUUCUCUCACAAACACAUAAUAACAAUCUGACACAUGCCAAGAAUGUGCCUAGUUAUAUCUUCUUUAUUUGUACUCUCCAAUCACUACCUUAAUGUACUUAAAUUGAACUAACCAUAGCAGAUUCUGAUGAAUCCCUAGAAGCCAUUCUGAUACGAUCCUUGUUAACAAAAUUACAAUGUUUUCUAAUCUCUCCUUUGUUCCCAGUAAGCACACCAAUAUUUCCCAUUUUAAUCAUUGCAGUCUCAAAGCUAUCAAAGAAAGCAUUUUUGUCAGCGCUAAACUUGUUCACAAUGGUAAUAGUAUCAGCACCAGAUGUUGAGAAAAGCUCUUGAUCACUCUGAAGCAAACCCUUUUUAACCUGAAGAUUAGAGUAGUAGUUCUUGUCAAAUCUAUCCGGAGUAGUAGGGUCAAAAUUGGCUAGGUUUGUUCCACUUCCACCCUUAGGGCAUGUUUUGCGUAACUCUUGUAAGUAAGUUGUGUUGAGAGAUGGAUCAGGCUUUCCGGUAUUGCUGAAAUUGUAUAACCUAUCGACGAAUAAGGAACAGUGAGAUCUUCCGAAUGUGUGAGCACCGGAAAGAGCAACUAGAUCAGUAGGGGUGAGGCCUUGUUUAGCAAAAGCAGCUUUGAGUUCAUCUAAUGUGUUGAAAGGAGCUGGAAGAUUUGUGUUAGCAAGUGAUUGAUUUGCUGUUAAACCAUCUCUUCUUCCUAAUGGAACUUUCCAAUUAGGACCUUGUGCCUGUAAUUACAUCAUCAUUGAUAAAAUUAGAACUUUACAUUAUGAAGCACACACACAAACCCUGACACCAGACACGACAAAGAAACCGACACUAACACGUCUUUUUUUAUAGGCUUUACAUAAUCAUGUAUAUAUAUUAUAUGUUAUAACUUAUAAGAUAAUAAAUAGUAUAGGAUGUGGUAUACCAAAAUAGAGGAAAUUUGUGCAGAAAGAGCAAGAAUAUCAGCGCAAGAAACAGUGUUAGGACAAGCAUUUUCCACUGCUGUUUUGAUCCGAUUUAUAACAUCUAAGCCUCUUAAAGAGUUGAUAUUAGGGAAAGCUUCUUGUUCUGUCACAACGGUAUCAGUUUUGUUCAGCAAAACUGAUGCAUCACAACCCUGUUACAACGAGUAAACCGUGAGUAAUUACUGAGUAAGUUGAUGUUAGUUUAGAAAGGCGUGAAAGAAUGAAUAUGCAGGAAAGUAUAUAGACAUACUUGAACAAAACAGUCAUGAAAGUGAAGUCUGACGAGACUAGCAAGCAUUCUUGGAUCUGUCUUGGAAACAUUUCUUAUGACUUCACGAACAAUGGAAUGAACAUCUGGACAAGUGUUUCUGUAAAAAGAUGCAUCAAGCUGUGCAUCAGAAGAGAAGGGUAAGCCUCCAAGCACAAGCACUACACAGCAUAGAGCUGUCAAUGUGAGACCAAAGGAGUUCAUUUUGUUGUUUUGAGUGUGAUUGGCCAUUAAUCAAGUCUCUUAUUUAUAGGCAAAUAAAUGUUUUAAUACCUAUGAUGACUUGUAAAAAGUAUUAUGGAUACUUUUUUUUAAAAAGAAUCGACUUUUAAAGUAUUGAGAGGCUGCUAAUUGCAAAAGUAAGGACCAAAAAAAACAGUAUUCACGUGUAGUAAAAUUCGUCACGAGUUAAAUAAGAAUAUAAGAGUAAAAUAAAUCGAUAAUUUGUCAUUUGAUAGUAUCCGUACUUGAGGGUAUUUGUUUUCAUUAAUAUUAUUAAAUAUUUAAUUUCUUAAUGUCAUAAACACAUUUAUAUAUUAUUAAAGUGUGUUUGAACCAAUAAAGUAUGAAUUAUGAUUUAAAUGUAAUUUUUUAAUAAUAUCUAAAUAUAUUUAAAUAUUGUUAAAAUAUGUUGUAGCACUUAAAUAUUUAAACACAUUUAAAUACUUAAUUUUGUGAAAUAACAUUAAAAAAAUUUAAUUAUUUAAUAUUUAAAAUAAUAUUCAAACACAUUGAAUUAAUAUAUUUAAAAAAUUUAAAUAUUAUUAAAAAGUAUAUAAUUAAAUAUUAUGGUUUUGUCAUAAUAAGAACUCUUGGAAUCUCUUACAAGUGAACUUUUAAAAGAAAUUCAUACAAAUUCAAAUUAUAAACCAUUUUAAAAUAUUAAAAAUUAUAAAAAAAAUGGGUUUUAUUAAAUAAAUUUUGAUAAUUAAUUUUAAUAAAUUAUUAAAUAGGUUUGAAUAAUAUUUAAAUGUCAUAUUAAUUCAUAUAAGAUUUAUUUGAACAUUCAUUUUAAAAUAUCUUAAUAUAAUCAAUAUGAAAAAAGAAGAACUUAGUAGUCAAUGAAUAGGUAAUAUGAAAAGUUAAUAAACAAAUGUCAAGUGGUUCAAUUGGCAAGGCAUUAGGUCUUCUGCUUUAAAUUUCAAGGUUUUUAAAGCAAGGAUAUUAUUAAAAGAGUAUCAGGGGUACUCUUACUCUAUUAUAAAAAAUUGAGAAAACUCGGAUAAAAGAAACAUUCCCUAUCAAUAGUAAUUUAGGCUAGAAAAUUAAUGGCAUCCUUACGGGAAUUAUAGAAAUUAUAGUUGGAUUUAGGAAUAUAGGGAUUACUUCCACAUCUUCUUAACUAAAUCAAAUCUAACAAGAUAUCCCUCAUGUGAUUCCAAAUGCACUAAAUAACUUUCAAUCACACUAUUCAUCUAUGUUAAUUGUAAUUCUUUGUGUCGAAGUAGAUUGUUCGAUAGAGUAAGGAAGUGUCGAACCACCUAUGUCUAUUUUAGUAGUGUUAGCUAUUUUGUGCUUUUAUAAUUUUGGGUUUUGACUUAAGGUCCAAGUUAACUUAAAUCUAUAAAUAGAGGGAGUAACCCUUAUUUUUUGAAAAGAGUUGAAUAGAGUAUUCAUAACAUUGUAUUCACAGUAUUUUGCAGUUGCAAAGUGAAUAACAAGUUUUCCACAAUUUGUGGGCAGAAAGAAACUCUAUAGAAUUUUAAUUCUUCUUCUCCUUCAUCGUUCUUUAUACUCUUUCUUUCUCCACUGUUCUUUCUUUUCAUUGUUAUUGUGUGGGUGAUAACAAUCUUGUUCAUCAAGAUUGAUUGAAAUUCUCCAUAGGUUUUGGAGAAUUUCCAACAUCUAGUAUCAAGAGCCCCGGUUAAUUGAUUUCGUGGGAAGAAAAUCACCAUGGCAACGAAUCAUCCAAACAGGCAUUUUCAACAAAUCUUCUGAUUCUCAAGAACAACAAUUAUGAGAAUUAGUGCAAGCAGAUAAAAGUUAUGUUCUGUUAUCAAGAUCUUUGGGAUCUUGUGAAGGAAGAAGUAGCAACGCUUGAAGAAGGCGUGACAGAUCAAGAAAAGGUUGCACAUAAAGAAUUGAAGAAAAGAAAGAUUAUAAAGCUCUCUUUAUAAUCCAUCAAUAUGUUGAUGCAGAUAACUUUGAAAAAGUUAGUGAUGCAGAGUCGGUGAAAGAAGCAUGGAAAAUUUUGGAGAAAUCGUUUGGAGGCGCCGAGAAGGUGAAAGAAGCGAGGUUACAAACUCACAAAAGAACGUAUGAAUUGCUUCAGAUGGAAGACAAUGACAGCAUAACUGAUUUCUUCACCAAGGUUAUGAAACUGGUGAAUCAAAUGAAGGUAUGUGGAGAAGUGUUUACAUCAAGAUCUGUUGUUGGAAAGAUCUGGAGGUCGUUGGCUCCAAAGUUCGACCACGUGGUAGUAGCCAUAGAAGAGUUGAAAGAUUUGUCAAAAUUGACAAAGAAAGAGCUUCAAGGGAUGCUUGAAUCUCAUGAACAAAGAACGACUGAAAGAGCUGCAGGAAAGUCGAAGAGUGAUAUGGCUUUGCAGGCUCAAUCGGAAAAAGAAAGAAAAAGAAAAGGAAGUUGGAAUGUCAGAUCUGAUGACAUCUCAUAUUUCCUUGGCAUCAAAUUCUACAAGAGGGGUAGAGGUUUGAUGAUGCAUCAAAAAAGGUAUGCGGGCGAAAUACUCAAGAGAUUUAAGAUGCAAGAUUGCAACCUAACUUCGACUCCAACUGAGUCAAGAUUACAACUGUCGAAAGAUUCAAAUGAAGAUGAUGUCGACCCAACCCAAUAUAGAAGACUUAUUGGGUCACUUCGAUACCUUUGUCACACAAGGUCGGACUUAACAUACAAUGUAGGUAUGGUAAGUAAAUUCAUGCAGAAGCCAAUGGUAUCACAUCUAACAAUGACGAAGAGGAUACUAAGGUAUCUAAAAGAAACUCUCGACUAUGGCAUUUUGUUUCUUGCAACUGAUGAAGGAAAAUAAUGCAAACCGGUGGGAUACACCGACUGAAGUUGGUGUAGUGAUGUUGAGGAUCGAAAAUCCACAAUUGGCUAUGUGUUUAUGUUAGGUGGUGCACCAGUUACUUGGAGUUCGAGAAAGGAGGAAGUAGUGGCAUUAUCGUCGUGCGAAGCAGAAUACAUAUUUGCUUCCCUUUGUGCAUGUCAAGCAACAUGGAUGGUGAAUCUGGUCGAAGAGAUAACAUCGAAGAGUCAUGGAGCAAUUACCAUGAAGAUCGACAACAUGUCAGCUAUCAAUCUAGCGAAGAAUCCGAUAGCACAUGGUCGAAGCAAGCACGUCGAAAUGAGGUUCCAUUAUCUUCGAGAGCAUGUAACAGAUGGGAAGAUGAAUGUGGAACACUGCAGAACUGAGAAUCGGAUUGCAGACAUCAUGACGAAGGGAGUGCAGGUCGAAGUGUUCAAAAGACUAAGAGCUAUGAUGAAUGUAGAUAGCUUAGACAUAAUGAAUUAGGUGAUGUGUUGAAUUGUAAUUCCUUAUGUCGAAGCAGGUUGCUCGACAAAACAAGGAAGUGUUGAGUCACCUAAUGUGUCGAGUUAUAUCAGUGUGUCAAAGUGUCGAAACAUGUUGUUUCACACAGAAUUUCGACUUAGGCCUAUUUUAGUAGUGUUAACUAUAUGGGGCUUUUAUAGUUUUGGACUUUGCCUUGGGGAGCAAGCUAACCUAAAUUUAUAAAUAGAGUGAGUAACAUUUAUUCUUGUAAGAGAGCACUCAGAACAUUGUAUUCACACAAUUUUGUAGUUGCAAACUGAAUAAAGAAAUUUUCCACAGGUUGUGAGUAGAGAGAAAACUCUGCAGAAAAUAUUCUUCUUUUCCAUCAUUCUUUUUUUUCUUUCUCAAUUUUUCUUUUUUUUCAUUGUUAUUAUGUGAUUGAUAACAAUCUUGUUCAUCAAAAUUGAUAGAAAUUCCCUAUAGAUUGUGGUGGGUUUCCAACACAAAUAUAACUAAGAUUGUAGAGAGAGUUAGACUUUCUCUCUCUCAAACAUUAUUCCAUACCAUUAAUAGUAACUUGUAAAAUAAGAUAAUUUAAUAUUGUUUUUAAAGUUCAAGGUUUAAGUGCAAUUAAAUCUUCAAAAGAUAAGCGUAGAAUGAGAAGUGCUCUUGAUUUUUUAUAUAUUAUAGAAUUGAAUGUAACUCUCAUAACAUCUAUUUUUUGCUAAUAAUUUUAUAAAAUCAAUUAAUUCAAAAGCCACAUUUUAAGAAAAACUUUAUUAAUUAAAACCAGAUACGACACUUAAAAUGAUUAAUACAUCAAACUUCGGAAUAUAUUUGUAAUUUCAAUACAUUAAGAAAUUAUAGUGACAGCAUCUUAUGCAUUAAAAAAGUUAAAAUAUUUAAUUUUUCUUAAUAAAAUAAUACACUUCUCUUCCUGUUAACUAGAAUAUUAUAAGGCUUAAUUCGAGUUUGAUUUGAAAUUAUAAAAAUAGAUUUUUUUUAAAUAACCAUUUCUUAAAAAAUAAUCUUAGAUAAUUAAAUAUUUACAAAAAAUAUUAAACUAGCCAUUUUUCAAAUAUGAUAUUAAUUGAAGAUUCGAACGAGGAUGAAAAAAUAAUUAAAAUUCAGUGUGAUAUUAUGUUAUUAUUUAGUAACUUUUUAUUUCAUGAAACCAGUAUGUCAUACCCCAAAAUUUGCCCGUUAAUGUUACAAGGCACUUUUUAAGGCACUCCAACUUAUUUUCCAAGGCAUUGACCUUAAAGGAACAAAGACCCCAGCGCCCACAGAUGCGCCAGGCAUCCAGAAAAUGGCCCAGCACUGCGCAUGCUCGCUACAGCGCAGCAACUCCUUCGCACCGUAGCGGAAACCCUGUCGCUUUACCGCAGCUCGCCUUAGCCGAAGCUUGGAAUACCCAGAUAAAUUCUGGGCCGUUCAUUGCUGAGCCCAUCAGCACCAAAAAUAUUAUAAAUAGCCAGCAGCUUCAGUCAGAACAGAGGCGACAGAGGAGCACGCGGGCAGAACACGCGUAGCAAGCGGGAAACCACCUAAACAGAAGCGCCAACACAGCCCAAAGCUGGAGGCCGAACCGCGAGAAUUCAGCCAGCAACCCUAAAGAAAACCCCCUGAAGGAAUACCAUCUGCACCAAGGUUACCUCGCCAACUCAAUCGCGGCGCAACCCUAAAGAGUGACUGCAAUUCAAGGGUUGCAAUUCAGGUGCAAACGGUUCUGCAUUAUCUAGUACCGCCUUUAUGUUGCUUAACUGUGGAUUGUGGCCAUUAUGUGAUUGCAAUUUAUAAAUAUCUUAAGUCUUUUCGCAUUCGUGAAUUUAAGUAUGGAUGAAUAUCCCUGAACGUCUAACCAUGUAAUCUUCUAUAGAUGGGAGGCCAUAGGGGUUGGCGACGGCGUUCUGACGACAUUGCUAGGAUCGUUAAUCAAAGACCCAGAACCCGACCGAGGGGGCGCCGCUCGCUAGCACCCAUCCGUGGGGGGGCGCUAACGGCCGAGCAGCCUCUGUGUAGCGGUAGUUUCGCCGAAGCCCUUCGCCUAGCGGACUGAAGAGGACGAGGACGGUGGUCAUCGCUGAUUUUCCUGUUCUGUUCUAUGCGCUUAUCUGAGUCGGUUGUAUUCUACAACCACUGUUUAUUUUGCCCUGACACCUCUACCGCCUGUUCCGACCGCUGUUGUUCUUUUAUUGGUGCAACUCUUGAUUGCCCACCUGAUGUUUCGGGAUUCCUGACGUGGUUGCUGGAUAUUUGUAGUGGUUUCAAUGAACUCCCGGGAGAAGGACGUCUGCACGAGUAUUCACUUUAUGUGUUGCGCGAUACCGCCUUGACGGGAGAUUCACCCUAAUUACCUAAUUGAUAAAUCAUGGGAAAACAAUAUAAAAAUACCUAAGUUGAUUACAACUUACCUAAUCUGAUUGUAACAAUAUUUGCGCUGUGAAUACUGUGAUCUUGGACCUCUCUUUGUUGCCUUACGGUAUUACGGUAUUACGGUCAUGUCCCGCGAAUGUGGGGAUACACUUAGCAAAGACCCUUCGGUUAAAUCAUCAUGUCCAUAUAAGAUAAAUCAUAGUCCCUCGGAUGUUGCCUUCGAAUAUAUGAUUUUGUCCCUCGAUGUCCCGUCGUUGUAAGCCUACGGUUAAAUGAUGAUCGCCCCUUCGAAUGCUAAGGUAUCCUUACAAAUGUUGCCUUCAAUGACCAAUCGAUGACCCUUUUACAUCCAAAGGGAUAAAACUACUUACUUCUCAAUAGUAAGGACAAUUUUACCCUCAUAAGGAUAGGAAAUGCCCAUAAAGACCUUGGGUAGGUAUAACUCUUAAUUGCUGGCUCACAACCUAAAACAUUUUUCAUACAUCACACUUUGCAAAACAUCCACUAGAAAAUCACCACUUGGUAUACAUUCGUACUAGGAUCAUUGACAAGUUAUAUUUUUCUAAAUGGCUUUCAAAAUUAAACGAGAUAAAUACUUUGUAUACAUUCAUACAAGAAUCAUUACAAAGUUAAACUCUCUUUUCAAAACAUUUUCUAAGCAAUUCGCAAACACUUUUUCAGACAAGAAAAAUAGCAUAAGUGAUCAAGCAAUUAAGAGCCCAUGGAUAACCAUGGAUACAAAGGGUGCUAACACCUUCCCUUUGUAUA
rnacentral:lncRNA from 1 species